UACGAAGGGGGCUAGCGUUGCUCGGAAUCACUGGGCGUAAAGGGUGCGUAGGCGGGUCUUUAAGUCAGGGGUGAAAUCCUGGAGCUCAACUCCAGAACUGCCUUUGAUACUGAAGAUCUUGAGUUCGGGAGAGGUGAGUGGAACUGCGAGUGUAGAGGUGAAAUUCGUAGAUAUUCGCAAGAACACCGGUGGCGAAGGCGGCGUUCUGGACUGCAACUGACACUGAGGAACGAAAGCCAGGGGAGCAAACGGG
rnacentral:rRNA from 1 species